GGCUGUGAUGAGUUGGAAUACACUGACCUGGUAUUGACAAACGUUUGGUUGUCUCUGACCAGGAGAUGAACUUUUAAUCUUCUCUCUGAGCCA